UGUUUGAGCGCCAUCUGGUGGACAGACGCCAUUUUGAAUUGAAACUCGUCCGCCAUCUUGUAAUUGAGGUGAACGAGGAGAAAGUAGUGCCGAUGUUCAUCUCACUACCCAAAUUGAACUUGUAUUCUUUCACUGAAAAUAGUACCUUGUCUUAUGUUGAAAAAAAAAUAUUUGACUUUUGAUUUUUAAAUAUCAGUCCCUAUAAUAUGGAAUAACGACCAAAUCAAAGAAGAAUAAAACAGAAUCUAUAAAUAAUUAAUCUAAUUGGGAUGUUAAAAUAAAGGUGAUAAACGUGGCGCGGAUUGAUACAUGUCGGAGAAGAGGACAGCGCGAGGCGGACGGUUCAAUUGAGCUGUUCGUCAGGAGUGUACAGUCACGGUUAGCAUACCAUGAAGAUCCUCGGGCAUAAUCUUAUGACCUCUUUAAGAUGCAGAAGAAGACGACAUUCCUCAGACAUCUUGGUGCAGGAAGUACAAGAGGAUCCCCAUGCUCAGUGUUAGCCAACUCCAGCAGCACACCUUCUUUAUCUUCCAAAGUCUGCUUCUCCCCAAAGCGAGCCACAAAACCUGACUUGGAGAAGCACACGUACAGACUUAUUAACUGUUGCAUGGUCUGAUAUCCUGCACAUAUUAUUCAUCUGUUCUCAGACUGAUAUGUAGCUGUAACAUGUAUAGUGUAUGUGUGGUUACUACAGACACAAAGCUGCUGUUUGAGGGUCACCACAGAAGAUCACUGAUUCUAGGACAAAUUUUAUGCCGGAUGCAAAAAUCCAUUUUCCAGGCUUGGGAUCGGCACUGAGAGAGCAACGGCUCGUGCAACCCUCAGUGGCUGGGGUUGGUUCCCUGACCCAGAAUCAAACCCGGACCGCGGCGAUGAGAGCUCUAGCCACUAGUCCGUGAGGGAACCUGUUAAUUUCUCGAUGCAGUAAAGUGUUAAAAUUCUUGUCUGUGGCAAUCACUCUUAUUCUACAGAUGUGGUAGAUAGCGAGUAGUUUGAAAAACACUGCAGUAUUACUUUAUGACCUAAAGUUGACUACUAGGGCACAAGACAGCACUCUUGCCCCUGCAGAACUAUGGUUAUACCCCGUUAUUUUGCUCCAUAUAAAAUAAUCUGGACAUCUACAGUAGGAUGUUUGUUAAUGCCUGAAAACUGCAGUUCCCACUAUCUCUUAUUACUCCUUGCCCUGCUGCCAACUUACCCAUCCUCUCUGGUCUCUGAUCGCAGGACAGAUGAUUCACUCAACAUAGUUGCCUGCAGACUGCUGGAGCUGGGGCAGAACUCUAUCCAUGCCAUUCUGCUGGCAGUGCAGUGCCAUUUGACCAGCAAGUACAAACACAGAGAUGACGGUGCUCCAGGCCAGGUCCCUGUGCCUCAUCUGAGAGAAGUGCUGAACAUGUAGAACAUGCUGUGUCCUCUGUCGCGUCCCGGAAGACGCGUGGCCAGUGGCGGAAGAAGAUCGGGAAGCGCUGGAGGAGCUCGUCUCCUGCGUGACGCAAUGCUGCUGAGGCUUAAGAGGGUGCCGGGCCUAGCGGUGUGCCUGGUUUGACUGUUACAUAGUUAAUAUAAUCGUAGACCAUCAAGUAGGCCUCUCGAACCAGUGGAUCAGGGCUGGAAAGGCCCUGGCCAAUCAAAUCUAUUAGGCCCAUCAAUGCUGUAUCCAAUCAGGGUCUUGGUUUUCAGUUGGGAUUUUCCUGCAUGAUGAUCUGCCUUGGUAUCUUUUUGUCAGGGUUCUGCAAACACAUUAAAUCGCACAAGCAGAAACCUACUUAGAUUCAUCUGUAUAAUGCUAGCAGUAAAGUUGUUGUGAUCCUUCAAACCUUCCUAGGUACAAAGUGUCACAUCAAAUACACACAUCCACAUCCAUCCACGUGUCCACAGACGCUGGAGUGACUUACCCCUUGAGAAUUAUCCAAGAAGUCCCAAGAACACUAAGGCUCAGUUAGCAGCUGGAAGAACAACAACGAAUUAGCUCUUUUGUCUGCUUUCUCGGUCAUCUGAGGUGCAAGCAUGUGUGUAUAUUUAUGCAUGUGUUCCAAUAUGUUGACCCUGGUUAUAUUUAGCGCUCCUGUUGGUUGAACGUGUACAAUCUCGGAGCAUCAGACCACCACCACCACCCCCUGUCCUCUGGAUCCAGCUAAAAAUAUUACGCACUCAGAUGAGUGAGCCUCGAUAAUUCU